UACGAGGGGGCGAGCGUUGUUCGGAAUUAUUGGGCGUAAAGGGGUGCGAGUAGGCGGUUCCGGCAAGUCCUGUGUGAAAUCUUCGGGCUCAACUCGAGUCUGACACGGGAAACUGCGGGGCUUGAGUGUGGGAGAGGUGAGUGGAAUUCCGGUGUAGCGGUGAAAUGCGUAGAUAAUCGGGAGGAACACCUGUGGCGAAAGCGGCUCACUGGACCAUAACUGACGCUGAUGCACGAAAGCUGGGGGAGCAAACAGG
rnacentral:rRNA from 1 species